UACGGAGGGCGCAAGCGUUGUUCGGAAUCACUGGGCGUAAAGCGCGUGUAGGCGGUCGGGCAAGUCGGGUGUGAAAGCCCGGGGCUCAACCCCGGAACGGCAUUCGAUACUGCCUGGCUAGAGUCCCGGAGGGGAGAGCGGAAUUCCCGGUGUAGAGGUGAAAUUCGUAGAUAUCGGGAGGAACACCAGCGGCGAAGGCGGCUCUCUGGACGGUGACUGACGCUGAGACGCGAAAGCGUGGGGAGCAAACAGG
rnacentral:rRNA from 1 species